rnacentral:rRNA from 1 species
UACGAAGGGGGCUAGCGUUGCUCGGGAUCACUGGGCGUAAAGGGCGCGUAGGCGGCUUUUUAAGUCGGGGGUGAAAGCCUGUGGCUCAACCACAGAAUUGCCUUCGAUACUGGAAAGCUUGAGUUCGGUAGAGGUUGGUGGAACUGCGAGUGUAGAGGUGAAAUUCGUAGAUAUUCGCAAGAACACCGGUGGCGAAGGCGGCCAACUGGACCGACACUGACGCUGAGGCGCGAAAGCGUGGGGGAGCAAACAGGAUUAGAUACCCUGGUAGUCCACGCCGUAAACGAUGAAUGCCAGCUGUUGGGGUGCUUGCACCUCAGUAGCGCAGCUAACGCAUUAAGCAUUCCGCCUGGGGAGUACGGUCGCAAGAUUAAAACUCAA